rnacentral:rRNA from 1 species
GACGAACGCUGGCGGCGUGCUUAACACAUGCAAGUCGAACGGAAAGGCCCUGCUUUUGUGGGGUGCUCGAUUGGCGAACGGGUGAGUAACACGUGAGUAACCUGCCCUUGACUUUGGGAUAACUUCAGGAAACUGGGGCUAAUACCGGAUAGGAGCUCCUGCUGCAUGGUGGGGGUUGGAAAGUUUCGGCGGUUGGGGAUGGACUCGCGGCUUAUCAGCUUGUUGGUGGGGUAGUGGCUUACCAAGGCUUUGACGGGUAGCCGGCCUGAGAGGGUGACCGGCCACAUUGGGACUGCGAUACGGACCAGACUCCUACGGGAGGCAGUAGUGGGGAAUAUUGCACAAUGGGCGGAAGCCUGAUGCAGCAACGCCGCGUGCGGGAUGACGGCCUUCGGGUUGUAAACCGCUUUCGCCUGUGACGAAGCGUGAGUGACGGUAAUGGGUAAAGAAGCACCGGCUAACUACGUG